ensembl:snRNA U6 U6 spliceosomal RNA
GUGCUCACUUUGGCAGCACAUAUACUAAAACUGAAAUGAUACAGAGAAGAUUAGCAUGUCCCCCUGCAGAGGGGAAAAAAAAGAGUUGGGGCCUGGUUUC